UGGGGAAUCUUGCGCAAUGGGCGAAAGCCUGACGCAGCGACGCCGCGUGAGGGAAGAAGGCCUUCGGGUUGUAAACCUCUUUCAGCAGGGACGAAGCCACUCAGGUUAAUAGCCGAGAGGGUGACGGUACCUGCAGAAGAAGCCCCGGCUAACUACGUGCCAGCAGCCGCGGUAAUACGUAGGGGGCAAGCGUUGUCCGGAUUUAUUGGGCGUAAAGAGCGUGUAGGCGGUUAGAUAGGUCUGCUGUGAAAACUCCAGGCUCAACCUGGAGACGUCGGUGGAAACCAUCUAGCUAGAGUCCGGAAGAGGAGAGUGGAAUUCCUGGUGUAGCGGUGAAAUGCGCAGAUAUCAGGAAGAACACCCGUGGCGAAGGCGGCUCUCUGGGACGGUACUGACGCUGAGACGCGAAAGCGUGGGGAGCGAACAG
rnacentral:rRNA from 1 species